GAGGAUAGUUAUUCGGCGGGGAUCAUUACUGAAAC
rnacentral:rRNA from 1 species